UCGAGAAUCUUCCGCAAUGGACGCAAGUCUGACGGAGCGACGCCGCGUGUAGGACGAAGGCCCUAGGGUUGUAAACUACUGUCACGGGUUAUGAAUGGGCUGUCGUUAAUAGCGGCAGUUUUGACGUAAGCCCGAGAGGAAGCACCGGCUAACUCUGUGCCAGCAGCCGCGGUAAUACAGAGGGUGCAAACGUUGUUCGGAAUCACUGGGCAUAAAGCGCACGUAGGCGGCCGAGUAAGUGUGAAGUGAAAGCCCACGGCUCACCCGUGGAAUUGCUUUGCAUACUGCUCGGCUCGAGGAAGGUAGGGGAGAGCAGAACUCUUGGAGGAGCGGUGAAAUGCGUAGAUAUCAAGAGGAAUACCAGUGGCGAAGGCGGCUCUCUGGUCCUUUUCUGACGCUGAGGUGCGAAAGCUAGGGUAGCGAACGGGAUUAGAUACCCCCGUAGUCC
rnacentral:rRNA from 1 species